UGCCGAGGCCCCGCACCGUCCCGCCCCGGCCGCGCAGGUUGGGGGGCACCGCGGGCCUCCCUCCCUGCGGCGGGCAGCGCUCCCGCCGCGCCGGGGAGCCCCGCCGGCUACCGCACCCCCGGGGAGCGGGGAAUCCCCCACGCAGGCUCGUGCCGGACAGGGACUUGCUUUUGUUUGUCACUAUUCUCAUUAUUUUCUCUGCGAAGAAGCAGGCGGUUUCACGCGGCGAUAUAAAGUUGGCUCGCCAAUAACCGGAAGUUAAAAUGCAAACGCUUCACUAGGAAGCGUUUCACGCAGCUGGUGCAAAAUCACUUUUAUUUUUUAUCUGCGGGAAGGAAAAACAGUUUUAUGAUUUUUUUUCCUGUGAGAUAGCACUGUCAUCAAAAUACAGAUGCUUUUCCUACAUCAAUGAUUUUUCAGUACAGCCUAAGGGCCUCUUGGCUUUAAAGCUCUAGUUAUUUUUGCUAAUAUAUCAAGAAUUUAACUCCUAACUAUUUCAUAAAUCAACUCCAGAUGCACUGUACAGUAUUUAUAUACUUAUUUUCAGAUGUACAUUCUGGCUCAGUAGAUUGCCAACUCACCAUUUCAAUGCUUCAAAGCGAUGAUGCUGGGAAUUGUCAGCUCUGAAGACAAGGUUAGCUCACAGGAGCAGAAUGUACUGUGUAAAAUGCUGAUUUAUGAAAGUGUUACAAUCCAUAUAUCUUGCAGGUCGAAUUGCAUGCAUUAUAUGAUCAGAAAUACACAGAGGAUUGAUCUGCCAGUGCUUAUUUUGAAGCAGAAUUCAUGUUGUCUCCAAAGGUGAGGGUGCCAGUGAUGUACUGGGGCAGAAGCUAGAAGGUGCAUCUUUCAACCCACCCCAGCCUGGAGAAGCUGUGGCAGAGCACUCCUGUACCCUGAUAACAAACCCCCGUAGCCUAACCCUCACCCCAGCAUUGCUGGGAGCAGUGAGCACCCUGCCCUGCCCAGGAUGAAAAAUAUCUCCUGUGAGCCAAUAGAUGCCCUACUCAUUUUUAAAAAUCUUUUCUCACUUUGAUGGGCUCCUGACCAGCAGAUGACACAUCCUCAGGCCUAUGAGCUGCUGAGGGUGUUGCUUUCCCAUAAACAGUUGCUCUCUGAGAAGCCUCAGUAGCCUCUGCAGCCAAGGGGACUCUGGGGGGCUCUGGCAGGCUCCAUUUUGCCAUCCUCCUGCCAGCCUGUGGGUAGUCUUUCCUAUUGUAGGUAGGCCUGUGGUGCUCAUAUGAAGGUGAUAUCCAGCUCCAAGUUUGCAGUUAAUCAAGUCUACUCGGUGAAGUUGAACAAUUUAAUCAGUGCGUGAUGAAGCCUUGGAUGUAUCUGAGCUGUAUCACGUUAUCUUCACAUCUAAAGCAAUAGUCAGAGAUUAGAUGGGGGGAACUAACGACAUAGUGGUAGUUCCUGCCCUGAUCCUGUGCAGUCACAUCACGAUACAGCAGUGUGAGCACAGCAGCCUGUUCUGUGUGUGGUCAUUGCACGGCCAAGGCCGUGGUAAGUCUCCUAUUCCCGGGACGCUGUCAUGCUGUUUAGUAACCAGAUUACAGCUUGGGUACGCAUUACUUAGCAACCCUUGCCAGGAAUGCUUUUCGUCUGCCUGGUGAGAAGGCUGGGACUCUUCCUUCAGGGGCACUAUCAGAUAAGUGUCCUGUCGCUUGUGCGCAGAGUUUUUGUGAUACGGUGGCAGGGCGAUGGGAGCUGAAGGCCACUUAGAUGUGGCACCGAAUGGCACUGUGUGACUUGGCCCUGUUUCUUGCAGAAAACACACUCCACCCAUGUUUCAUGCCCUUCCCAGCCUGCUGCUUCAUCUCCAGGUGCAGAGGAAGGAGGUUGUUUUUGGCUAAGGUGCUACUGUCUUGGGACCUGGUUAUUUUAUAUAGUUUCUUUCCAGUUCCAGGUUAGUACAAGGAUUUUGAUGAGCUGACGUACAGAAAAUGGUAUCCCUGUCCUGUCUGAUGUCUUCUUGGUCAAGUCCAGUCUGUGUUUAUUGCUUCUCAAAUGGUAGCUGGAUUUGCUGGAUUUACAGAUCUUCCCUGGGGUGACAGCGCUGAUUGUCCAUGCAGAUAUGGACAAAUAGAGUUGAAGUUAUUUACUUUGUGAAUAAUAUAGUAAUUUUUUUUCUGAGUACCAGUUCGAUUAAAUAGUUUGGUUUGGGGGUUUGGCUGUUUUGGUUUUUUUGUUUAUUUUUUUUUUAAUGAGUAUAAUGAUGCUGAAAAUGUAAAAAGUAAAUAAUUAGACUUAUAAAAUAGGGCAUUUAUUUAUUUAUGGUGGUCUAAUUGAAGGUGUUCCCCUUGUUAGUGUUAAAGUAGAAUAAUCUUCUUAUUGUACAGGCAGCUGUAGAAGUAAGAAAGUACUUUAAACUAGUAGAAGAUUUUUCACACCUGCUGUCUUUAUGAAGCGCCGUCUUGCUUUUCCGCUGGUCUGACACAUGACUGCAAACCUGGCUCGAUCGGGAGUCUCCAUGUCCACCUACGCUGGAAGGCACAUCCGGACGGCCGGAGGCGUUGCCGGCUGCCGGCGGUGAUGGCACAGCCCCGCUUGUGCGGCAGCUCCAGGCCUUGCCAGGGCACGUCAGUAUUUCUUGUCCCUCGCUUUCGGGGUGUCUUCCCGGUGUGGGGAACCCCCAAAGCCGGCCAAACCCUCCCGCGGGCGAGGAGCGCACCCCGCGCCGGCGGGGCGGGGCGGUGAGGGGCGCCGGGCUCACGCCGCCGGGAGCUGCUGAAGUGAGAACUUGAAAGGAGCCGUCGGUGGCGAGAAGAGGCGGACAAAGCAAGCGCCGGGCUACCGAACGCGGCGCUCUGCCGGCGAGUUUUAAGGCGCUUCAAGUCUAAAGGAGAAGUGACAGGGCAAUCAUCUCCCCGGCUUGGCUGCGGAUGGGAGGGUGGAAUCUUGCUAACAGCUCGCGUAUCUGUAUAUUUAAUUGCGACCUGGCUGCAUGUUCCUGUUGAGGAAGGAUGCAGAUCACAAGCGAAUCUAUAAAAACGCAGUUGACAAGCCAAGGAAAGGGAUAACUGACAGAUGAAACGACAGUCAGCGCGGAGCUAACUGGCAAACGCAUCGGUACAAAGUCAGAUACCUUCUGAGAGGAGUAGUAGUUUGUUUUAUUCCGGUUCUCCAGAGUUUUAUCUACUGUCGGUGUGAUGGGGUAGAGAGGAGCUAAUGUGCCCUGUUUAGGAUACACACAUGCAGAUUAGAUCAGGCUUCAGACACCAUGUUUCACUCAAGACUUAGAACAGUUAGAGGAAUAAACCAGGCUUCACCCACCUAGGAAAACAUGGAAUUUUAAUGAUUUAAAGGUGAUUUACACUUGUUUAAACACAACCGUUUCACAUACGGAUAUAGGGAGCUAUCGGGAGUUGAUGGGGUCAGGAGCUGGGGCCCGGAGCUCGCCGCCACCGUUAUACGAGGCUGGGGCGCUGGGAAUACCAGCGUUUUCUUCACUUUUGUGUUACUUUAAGUUUUCAAUGAGGCUAGUGUAAUUACGAGGCGUUUAACUUUUUGCCAGGCUCUUUCAUUAUGGCUUUGCAUUUGCACCUCGCUUUUAAGAGAAGUAAUAACAUUCACAGUCAGGGGCAAAUCCUGUUAAUGAACAAAUUAAAGUUCAAACAGUUAUUCAAGUUCACAGCCCCACUCGCUGCUCCUUUAAUAAGAGUUAUACAUGUUACUUUCUCUCGGGAUCACUCCCCCUUUUAUUACUUUUUAAGCUUUUCAUAAGCACUAGCGAGCUAUACGGGCAGCUCCCAGCCUCUAAAGAGCCCACAAAUCCUGAAGGGAGCCCUAAUCCGACCUUAAUUUGGCAACUUUUGUAAAAGACAUAAAAGCUCGGGUGCCACCCUUGUGCGCUCAGAUUAUAAUGUCAGGGGACAAGCCGGGGGAAGGCUCCCUCCAUCCCGCACCCACCUAUUUGAGUUGGCUCCCUCCCUUCCGGAGCUGUUCAUAAAGCCUCCGUUAGUCCCUCACGGGUAUCGGAAGAGAAGUAAGGAAGUCUGAUUGAUAUCCUGGGAAUUUCCACCCCCUCUCACGAUAGCUCUACUUGGCUGCGCUGGGCGCGGGCUGCCGGAGCGGGCCGGUCCUCCCAGCACCGGCACCGCUGCCCUUGGGCCGGAGCCCGUUGCCUGCCUUCGAGUCAGCAACGUGGAGUUAAAAACAAAACAAAACAACCCCCCCGAAAAUAUAAAUCCUUGCGCUCUUCUUCUCUUCCCGGCCCUCUUCUUUUUCUCCAAACCUUGCGCGAUUAGAGUGUCUGCGCUCACCUCGGCAUUUGCAUAACAUGAAUCUAAAUUCCCCUUGUCAGGGGCUGCCCGAGCCCGGGGGAGCCGCGGGUCCCGGUGAGACCGGGCGGGGAGCGGGGUGGCCCCCCCGCAGAGCCGGGCUCCGGGCCGGGGGGCGGCGGGCAGAGUCCAACAAAACCCGGGGAGUUUGACACUGGUUCACGGCAGCGCCGGUGCAAAAGCGCCGUCUAUGUACAAAUAAAGGAGAUCACACUCCCCAUUAUCUACCUCCUGGCGAGUGUUUGAUUUGUGACAUCAAAAGCUUAUCAAGGCAAGCUCACCAAAAAAAAAAAAAAAAAAAAAAAAGAAAAAAAAAAAAAAAGGCACCUCUUCAUGGAGGGAGAUCGCUGCGGUUUGGGUUGGGUGAUGUGGGGGAAGGAGGAGGGAACCGGUACUGACAAAACGCCUCCGGUGCCAGGGAGGCGAUUUCUGCCCCGCCCGUGCCCCCGCAGGCCGAGCGGCGGGGCUGGUGCGGGGCCGGCCGCGGGUGCGGGGCGCUGCCGCGGGCGCGCAGAGCAGUGGACGGGCGGGCUGGCCCCGGCGGAGGGCUGGAGGGAGGCCCUGAUUCUUCGCAGCCAUCCACACAGAAGUGGUUUGAUAUAAUCACCAUGACAACUGCCGCCUAUAAGCAUACAAAUAAUAGAGAUGAAAUAGACAAAAGAUUAGCAUGCCAUGAAAAGUACAAUAAGUUUCUUAUUUAGCAUUUAGAUAACUGUCUUUCCUUCGGAGCAGGCUUCAAAGUUGAACCCAGUUUAGACCAAGAGGAUUAAUUCUUUCUUCCGCAUGCUUCAUUGAAUCUCUCAUUACCAAACUUUGUCUGUAUUGAUGUAAGAUUUGAUUGAAGAUUAGAGCAUUUAGCAAAUCUUGCUUUUCUGCAUGUAUCAGGCCUUUUCAAGCGCAGACCGUGCUGCCCAGUGGUCAAUACCCUUACUUUUAUCCAGUGUCUGCUUCAUUUAAACUUAAUCAACUCCCUCAAUGAACUGGAACAGGGAAACGUCCCUGAGGUAAGAAUGUUGUGCUGUUCUUAGAUAAUUCUUUGCUCCCUCUCCGAAUCCGCUGGCGUUAAACCUAAAAUUGCUCUCUGAUGAACUUAAUCAAUAUGAUAAUGACAAUUGAGGCUGAAUGGCUCGGCCUGGGCUCGGCACGGAAAAGGUAGAUGGCUGUGCCCAUAGCCUAAAAGCAACUUCUCCUUUCUCGCCUCUUCUUUUGUGUGCACUGCUCCCACCUUUCUUUCUCUCUCUCUCCCCCUCUUCCCCCCUCUCCGUGACACCGACCGCUGCUCACGCUGGAGAAUGAUGCUUCUUUGUGCGGCAGGAAGACUCGUAUGUCACCGCCCGGAGGAGCGGAGCGGAGCGAUUGGCCGGCUUGACUUUGAAUUUCCUUAAGUGCCAGAACGAGGAUGCGGUGCUGGGUAGUGCAUUGCCGUGUGCUAUAUUUAGAAAGCAGCUGGAAGAGAAAAUGUCCUCAGGAAUCUGGACUGUUUUGUUGUAAAUGUCCCUCCAGUCCCAGCACUGUAAACGUAAACGCUCGUUCUACAGACGUGUCAGCGCUUGGCGCUGCCUGGGAGAGCUGGGUAAGGAUGGGUUCGGGGAGCCACUGCUGACUCCCCGGCACUGCCCAGCAGCCUUGGCGGUGUCCUACGGCGAUGAGAGGUGCCAUGGCCAGGGCUGCCCGGCGGCGUGGCUGCCUGCGCACCCUCGCGGUGAGGGGCAGAGGUGCCUGGGUUUCUCCCUGCCAGAGGUACAUCCUCUCCGCCCGGGGGAACCGGCAGGUUGCAUGCACCCCUUUCUCCGUGCAGAGCGCCUCAGCCGCGAGGUUCACUGCCCGGUGCCCCGAAAGGGACACUCCACUUGUGUUUCGGUGGGGCAGCGCUCUCCGCCCGCCACCGCCGCGGGCCGGGCAAUCCGCGCCCGCGGGUGCCAGAGCGCAGCGGCGGGUCAGGUGGCACUUACAGUCCUCCCCCUCCCUGGAAAUUCAGCAGCAAGAGCACCCUCAGACCCACCGCCCGCCCCCCGCGUGGAGUGAAGGUUGAUGCUAAACGGGGUUUUGUGCCUGAGGCUUGGCCCUUCGGGAAUGGGGACAGACCGUGCCGGAGGGACAUCCCGCCUGGCUGUUACUCAGGGUGGAAGCUCCAACGGCCUCGGAACAGCCCCGGGGUGCCCUCUCCUCCGCGCCUUGAGACCCCGCGCCCGAGGUAGGUUCCCCCGUCCCGUGUAAUGCUCCCCCACAACCUCGCUGCCCCUUCCUCUGCCAGUGCCCCUCGGUGGGCACGGAGAGCCGGGGGCAGCGCUAAGUGGGCGGUUCCCAGCUGAGAGUACAGCCAGCGGCUGCUUCCAAGAGGGCGGCUUCCCACCCACACUCGCCCGCCCCACACGGGGCUCUCGCGGCAGUGGGGAUGAGUCGGUAUCGGCGGGCGGGAAUUGGCCAAGUUAACGUUUCUUAAGGCCAGAAGAGACCAUUAAAUCAUCCACCUGACCUCUCGUGUUACAAGGCUGUAUAAUUCCAUCCAGUCCUAAGGCAUUAAGCCAAAUAAUUUGUGUUUGAAUAAAAUGUGCCUUCUAGAAAGUCUCAUGAUCCUGAGGAUUUCAAGAAAUGGAGGUUUUGCUGUUGUCCUGGAGAGUGUGUUGUGGCAGUCAACCCUUGGUUAAGGGAUGAGCCUCAUUUCCAUGACACGUUGACCUUGUUUAAAUUACUCCCCAAUGCCAGGCUUAUAUUUUGGAGCCUACUAGUACCUUGUUGCAACUGUGGCUACCUUGGCUUUCCCCUUCCUUUCGCACAGGUGUCAUGCCUGCUCCAUGUUAGCACAGAGGAGGGCCUGGCUCUACCUCGGGCUGCCUGGGGAAUCUGGAGUUAUCCAACACCAGACUGCCGUAGCGCUCAGCCUGCCUGGUGACUGUGGCAAGGAAGAGUCCCAGCACCUCAGGCUGGGUAGGCCAAUGGGACAUACCAUUGAAAACCACUGCUCAAAGGGCCUAGUCCUGCCUUACUGUGAAAUCAUGGGCCAACACCCUUUCUAACCAAGCCAGUGCCCAAUAGGAGAAGGAUGAGAGCAAUGCUGUUGGCAGACACACUGCAGUAGGAUGAAACCAACCCCACUUCAGAGAAGCAGUCCCCCAGCUGCGGGCGCCAUCCCGAGGCUUCUAAUGUGAGGAAAAACACGCGGUGACAAGUGUGGAAAAGAGCAAGCACUAAAUUACUGUCAGAAAAAUAAACGGCGGAGCGCGGCGCGGGGCGGUGAUUUACGGGGGCAAUUAGUCACCGCCCCACGGAGCCGCUGAGGCCGGCGGGGCCGCCGCAGCAUCCCUGGGGGCUGACCCGGCUCCGGCUCCUGGCCCAGGCCUGCACCCAGCAUGGACACCGAGGACUUGUCCUGCUCCCGUGCUUCAUUUUUUGCCUACCCCAAAAAUAGGGGUGCAGGAGGAGAGAGGAGCCACCCCAAAAGCCACAGCCUCUGUUAGUGGAGAAAGUGGGGGCACCAGAAGUCUGCUUGUUCAUCGUGGUGAGUGGCUGGUGCUCAGGUGUGUGGAGUGACUGAAGAAGUGAGAAGGUACCAUUAAAUGAAAAAUACUCUUGGAGAAUGGAGUCUGGAAAGAAGGGAUGGAAGAGCUGCUGGGCUGGGUGAUAGGGUGGAGGUGGCUCUGCAGCUGCUGUAUGUCUUCUGGAGUUGCUGUGGGCCAUUAAGCCUCCCAGCCUUGGAGAACUGCCAGCUCUGCUGCUAACUGGGAGUGGACAUUAUAAACAUAUCUAUAUGCUGUUGUUUCACUAGGGUGGAGUCCAGGAGAGAUGUUUUAAUUUGAAGCUAGCAGCUUCAAUGUACUGUUCAAGCUCUGGUUCAGCCUGGGACCAUGACAAUGAGCCCCCAGCCAGUGUGUUGUGGGGCAUCACAGGGGGCAGUUGAAGGACCCCAAGUCCCUGGUCUAGUGUGGUCCUUUUCCGGACCUUGUGGCUGAGAAGGGUGCCAGGGCCUGAGAGACUCCAGACUCCGAUUUCUACCUUUAGGGACCACAGUGACACUCCUUUCCCCAACCCGUGUUACUGGAUCCACUUCAAAUGUGUAGUGGUUUUGUAACUUUUUACCCCCGUCUGCUCUCAUUGACCCAGCAAUCCUUACUUACUUGGUGCCUGUAUGUCAAUUUUCAUUUGCUAAGGCUUUAUUGGCCACCUAGGCCUUAUGUCUGUCCCCUGAGCAGGGGGCAGCAUUAUCUGACUUUGGAUGCAUGCUGCCAUUAGACCUGCCAGCCUGGUGUCUGGCUCCUCCAAAUAGUUGGCACUUGGAUAAUGGGAGACAGUCUGUCCGAGCUCACUGCAACAGCUGGUGCCAGCCAGCUCUUCAAGGACUGGUGCCAGCAUCAGGACGAGUGUGCCAGGGUCUGCUCAUCAAACAGACACUCGACCCAUGGCUGCCACUGGGGGACAAAGGGAAAAGCAGCAGAGCAAGUCCCUCUUGACAUGGCACCUCUUGGUAAAGGCAGGCAUGUGCCUUUCGAAAGAGGAUGGAAGCUGGAGGAUGAAGAGCUGUUGCAGGUCCCAGUAACCUCAAUAAAUGGCAUUCUCUCCCUGCUCCACUUUCCCAGCUGAUAGGAAGCAUGUGAUACCUGCCAUUGGGAAGCACUAGAGACUUAUGAAUGAUCACAGAGGCAAAGCAGUAGUAGUUAUUUUGGGGUCUGCCCUUGGCUGCUUCCUUGCUUUCUAGAAGUGUUCUUGCAGGGACGUGGUGUGUGUGUGUGUGUAAACACAAGGUGCUACUGGUGCUCCCCUUCCCUCGUUGUGGUAGAGUCCCGCUGCUCCCACAGGUUGCUGGGCUGCCUCCUAUAAGUGAUAUGAGCGGCAUCUCUCAUGUAAUUUUCUUCCUCCCACUGGAAAAAUUGUUUGUUUAUGUUCUUUAAAUAAAUAUUUAAUAUCUUUCA